AUGCACUACAGGUGGCAUAUUAUUAAAAAGGCUGAGGUGACACUAGGACCAUUCUUUGCUGACCGUCCAGAGCUGCACAAGGCAUCCGAGUUGUGCAUGGACCACAGCUUGACGGCGGAGGAGUUUGAACGGAGCUGGAUGGCUAUGAUUUAAACAUACCAAGUCCAAGACAACGAGACACUUACUAGCCUGUGGGAGAAGCGAAUGUACCGGGUGCCGGCCUACUUCAUGCAGUGCUUCUUCCCAUUUCUGCAGACUACGCAGCGCAGCGAGGGGUUCAAUGUUGUUUUGAAGCGGUACGUGAGCCAUGACAACUCAUUGUUGCAGUUUGCCAAGCAAUACACAGCUUUGCAACAGAAAAUACUGGGAUCUGAGCUACAGCAAGAAGCAAACACCGCUCUCAAGCAGCCUAAAUUUCUAGCAUAUUUACUGAUGGAGAGGCAUAUGAGCAAUAUAUAUACCAACAAGAUUUUUAACGAGUAA
rnacentral:rRNA from 1 species